rnacentral:lncRNA from 1 species
UGUAUAGCAGCUAUUCCCAUCUUCCUUUCUGCAUAGCUGCCCCAAAUCACCUGGUAUCAAUAACUAUUUUCUGAUUCAAUUGUGUAAUGUCUGUCCUUGUGACUAGACAAGAGGGGUAAUACUUGAUUUCUAAUACUGUGGAAGAGAUCUAACAACAGUGGGACAGGGAAAAGUAACACGAAAUCUUCACUUUGCCACUGGAUUCCCUUGGACAGAGCUCAUGUACUUGUUCAAUGAUCAGCCCUGGCAGAGAUGCUGCCUUGUGUGAGCCUAUGACUGUAGGAACAAGGAGCAUCCUUUUAUUCUCAUCUGAGCAGGCAAUGGAAAAGGUCAUAUCAGAUGGUGGAUCCACAGUGAUGCAGGUACAGUAUAGUGUGGCUUUAGCUUUUUUCACACCAUUUUUAGAACCAGCCAGUGGAACAUGCCAUGUUAUGCAAACAGCUGCAGCUCAGAUUCAUUGUGACAUUAAUAUUCAUUUCAGAUUGGAGAAUUUCAGUAAGAUAUGAUUUAAUUUGUCUUAUGUUAUUAUUACUGCCUCAUUAAAUUCAACUGAAAGCUAUCCUCUCUAGUCUACAAUGUGCUUUGUGAUAUUUCAGUAUUAUUGUUCUCAUACACAGACACUGUAAUGCACACAAAAUGAGAACAUCUCUAAUAAUCGUUUUACUGUUUUGUUAAAGCACAAUUGAAUGUCAUGAGUGGAAUUACAUUUUUACAAUCAUUUGAAUCCACGGAUGAUUUAUCUUUUCUAUAAGUGUAACUAAAAAGGGAGACCCUGAAAUUAGCUAAUUCUUUUCAUGUGUCUCUGGUUGCUUUUCUAUCCAGCAAAAUCCAGUCUACAAGAGUAUACGUGGAUGAAAAGCAAAGUGAGGUGAAGGUGCAUCUAAUUUAGCUUCAGUGAGGAAUUUUAAACUGGUAUUAACUGAUAAUUUAAUGAUACAGGUAUUGCUGUGGUGCAGAGCAAUCCUACCUUGGCACAAUGCAGAUUGUUAACAAACCACUCUAACCUCCUCCCCCCAAAAAACAACAACAACAACAAACCCAACUUUAUUUUAUUGGGGCAAAAUAUAAUAUUUUUUCAAAAUCUUAAUCUUCAGCUUGGACUUCUUACAGGUUAUAAUCAACAUCUGGGGACUUAAGUGGCAGGAAGUGGUCAGAUGUUCCCACCAGAAUAUCAAAACAGCUGAACGUGAUGAUGUUAAACUAUUUUGCAACACUGACCGCAUCUUAUGAAAGAGAGAGGGCCACUUCUUUGCAAAUGGACAAACCAAAUAACUCCUUUUUCAAUCAUGUGGAAUGCACAUAGUUACUACAGGAACUCUUUAUAUGGAAAACAGUAUUAUGAAAGGAAUUAAUGUAAGAAUCUAAGAAUAAUCUGGCAGAGAGCAAAGAGGAAGAGAAUUAGCCAGCCUUAAUAAAGAGAAGACCCCACAAUGAUAAUGUUUCA